rnacentral:rRNA from 1 species
UACGGGGGGAGCAAGCGUUGUUCGGAUUUACUGGGCGUAAAGGGCGCGUAGGCGGCGCAACAAGUCACUUGUGAAAUCUCCGGGCUUAACCCGGAGCGGCCAAGUGAUACUGUCGUGCUAGAGUGCGGAAGGGGCUACUGGAAUUCUCGGUGUAGCGGUGAAAUGCGUAGAUAUCGAGAGGAACACCUGCGGCGAAGGCGGGUAGCUGGGCCGACACUGACGCUGAGGCGCGGAAGCGUGGGGAGCAAACAGG